AGCAGCCGCGGUAAUUCCAGCUCCAAUAGCGUAUAUUAAAGUUGCUGCAGUUAAAAAGCUCGUAGUUGAAUUUCGGGACUAAUAUGUCGGUCGUGCCUCGGUACGUACUGGUUUAUUGGUUUCUCCUUUCUGAAGAACCAUGAUGUCAUUUAUUUGGUGUCGUGGGGAAUCAGGACUGUUACUUUGAAAAAAUUAGAGUGUUUAAAGCAGGCUCACGCUUGAAUACAUUAGCAUGGAAUAAUGAAAUAGGACGUUUGAUUCUAUUUUGUUGGUUUCUAGGAUCGACGUAAUGAUUAAUAGGGAUAGUUGGGGGCAUUAGUAUUCAAUUGUCAGAGGUGAAAUUCUUGGAUUUAUUGAAGACUAACUACUGCGAAAGCAUUUGCCAAGGAUGUUUUCAUUAAUCAAGAACGAAAGUUAGGGGAUCGAAGACGAUCAGAUACCGUCGUAGUCUUAACCAUA
rnacentral:rRNA from 1 species